rnacentral:rRNA from 1 species
GAUGAACGCUGGCGGCGUGCCUAAUACAUGCAAGUAGAACGCUGAAGGAGGAGCUUGCUCUUCUGGAUGAGUUGCGAACGGGUGAGUAACGCGUAGGUAACCUGCCUGGUAGCGGGGGAUAACUAUUGGAAACGAUAGCUAAUACCGCAUGACAACAGUUAUUGCAUGAUAACUGUUUAAAAGGGGCAACUGCUCCACUACCAGAUGGACCUGCGUUGUAUUAGCUAGUUGGUGAGGUAACGGCUCACCAAGGCGACGAUACAUAGCCGACCUGAGAGGGUGAUCGGCCACACUGGGACUGAGACACGGCCCAGACUCCUACGGGAGGCAGCAGUAGGGAAGCUUAGGCAAUGGACGGAAGUCUGACCGAGCAACGCCGCGUGAGUGAAGAAGGUUUUCGGAUCGUAAAGCUCUGUUGUAAGAGAAGAACGAGUGUGAGAGUGGAAAGUUCACACUGUGACGGUAUCUUACCAGAAAGGGACGGCUAACUACGUG